rnacentral:rRNA from 1 species
UGAAUGUUUGAUCUCAAAUCAGGUAGGACUACCCGCUGAACUUAAGCAUAUCAAAANGCGGAGGAA